GUCGAACGAGCUUCCGUUGAAUGACGUGCUUGCACUGAUUUCAACAAUGAAGCGAGUGGCGAACUGGUGAGUAACACGUGGGGAAUCUGCCCAGAAGCAGGGGAUAACACUUGGAAACAGGUGCUAAUACCGUAUAACAACAAAAUCCGCAUGGAUUUUGUUUGAAAGGUGGCUUCGGCUAUCACUUCUGGAUGAUCCCGCGGCGUAUUAGUUAGUUGGUGAGGUAAAGGCCCACCAAGACGAUGAUACGUAGCCGACCUGAGAGGGUAAUCGGCCACAUUGGGACUGAGACACGGCCCAAACUCCUACGGGAGGCAGCAGUAGGGAAUCUUCCACAAUGGACGAAAGUCUGAUGGAGCAAUGCCGCGUGAGUGAAGAAGGGUUUCGGCUCGUAAAACUCUGUUGUUAAAGAAGAACACCUUUGAGAGUAACUGUUCAAGGGUUGACGGUAUUUAACCAGAAAGCCACGGCUAACUACGUGCCAGCAGCCGCGGUAAUACGUAGGUGGCAAGCGUUGUCCGGAUUUAUUGGGCGUAAAGCGAGCGCAGGCGGUUUUUUAAGUCUGAUGUGAAAGCCUUCGGCUUAACCGGAGAAGUGCAUCGGAAACUGAGAGACUUGAGUGCAGAAGAGGACAGUGGAACUCCAUGUGUAGCGGUGGAAUGCGUAGAUAUAUGGAAGAACACCAGUGGCGAAGGCGGCUGUCUAGUCUGUAACUGACGCUGAGGCUCGAAAGCAUGGGUAGCGAACAGGAUUAGAUACCCUGGUAGUCCAUGCCGUAAACGAUGAGUGCUAAGUGUUGGAGGGUUUCCGCCCUUCAGUGCUGCAGCUAACGCAUUAAGCACUCCGCCUGGGGGAGUACGACCGCAAGGUUGAAACUCAAAAGGAAUUGACGGGGGGCCCGCACAAGCGGUGGAGCAUGUGG
rnacentral:rRNA from 2 species